GAUGAACGCUGGCGGCGUGCCUAAUACAUGCAAGUCGAGCGGACGGACGAGAAGCUUGCUUCUCUGAUGUUAGCGGCGGACGGGUGAGUAACACGUGGAUAACCUACCUAUAAGACUGGGAUAACUUCGGGAAACCGUAGCUAAUACCGGAUAAUAUUUUGAACCGCAUGGUUCAAAAGUGAAAGACGGUCUUGCUGUCACUUAUAGAUGGAUCCGCGCUGCAUUAGCUAGUUGGUAAGGUAACGGCUUACCAAGGCAACGAUGCAUAGCCGACCUGAGAGGGUGAUCGGCCACACUGGAACUGAGACACGGUCCAGACUCCUACGGGAGGCAGCAGUAGGGAAUCUUCCGCAAUGGGCGAAAGCCUGACGGAGCAACGCCGCGUGAGUGAUGAAGGUCUUCGGAUCGUAAAACUCUGUUAUUAGGGAAGAACAUAUGCGUAAGUAACUGUGCACAUCUUGACGGUACCUAAUCAGAAAGCCACGGCUAACUACGUG
rnacentral:rRNA from 1 species